GGCCGGGAGGUCCCGCGGGCAGCUCCCGGUCCUGGCCGGGGGUUCCCGUCCCGGCUUCGCGCCGUUGGGCUCCUCGGAGCUCGGGGCCGGGUCAGAGCUUGGUCUCCACGCCGAGGCCGCCGGCAGGAGGGGAGCGGUGCUGAGAGGCCGAGGUGGAAGUGUGACUUAGAAUGGUGGCGGCCCCGCCACUUGGAUGGCGUGGAAGUCGCUCACCGCUCGCAGUACUGCCACGAGCGCUGUGGCCGGGAUGUGGGGAAGGGCCGUGAUGGUUCUCAGAGAUAGCGAGGCCUGCGGUUCUCCUUACGGCGGGAUCGAAGGAGGAGAAGGGCUGACAAGGUCAAGCAGGGGCUGUGCAGGUGGACUACAGGGCAGCGUCAACGCAAGAUUGUUUUAGGAUAUUAAUGCUUCCAGAAGCCUAAAUAGAUCUAAGCCAUCACCUAUUCCAAAUAAACCUGAAGUCACAUCAAAGACUGACAAGAACAAAACAAGUUUGUGCAGCAAGAUCAGUCUCCUCCAAAUCAGGCUGAUUGGCGUUAGCUGGAGAAUCUCAUAUCAGCUCUUCUCUUGCUUUGCCUAGAAAUUUUCAGGUCUUCUGUUUGCUCUUUACAAAUACCAGCACAGCACCGCUCUUCUCCCGUCUUCUGGGACAUCUGUGAAAUUCCAGAACUUAUUAACAAGUUGUUUUUUGAGCAACAGGACUGAGGAACCUGGCGUCCCUACGGAUUUGUUGCCUGUGUGUUCUAUACUUGCCAUGCCAUCAGCCAAGGUACCUUGAUGACACCCUUUCUGCAAUGCACCACAGCCCCUCGCCUGUAGCCGAUGCCUUGGGCUCCUCCUCCACCACUCUCCAGCACACACAGCUUCCUCAGUAUUUUCUGCUUAAUUUAUUUCAGCCUGCUGGCCAGACUGCUCUGACCAGCAGGGUUUUGCCCAGCAGCAUGGCCAUGGGGUCUCCUCCAGCACAUUCACCAGCAGCAUCUCUGUCUGGCUGCUGGUUCUCUCUCGUACAAGUUGUUGGAGCUUAUUUACCUUUCAGACUCUGCUUCAUUUGUCAAGCCCAGCUGAACGCGGCCCGUGGCAACUGAGAGAUGAGCAGAUGGACUGACGGACAGCAGAGCAACCGCAGGAGCCUCACUGCCCUCAGGACACAAAGCUAAAUCAGAGCAUUAGAGGUCCACUUGGCCUCAGGACUGGUGUAAAUAACCUCUACGUGAUGACUGUGCCAGGCAGAAAUAACAGUCUUGCAUCCUUCUGGGUGUGAUGGUGCAGAAGGUACGUUAUCGAUCGUGGUCCAAAUCUUGGCCAAAUACACAACAGAGGGAGUUGUCACAUUUCCAUCUUCGUUUUGUCAUCACAUCACCUUCACUCGCACACCCUCAGAAUAACACUUCUUGCUUAAUAUAUCUCUCAUCUUCCCUUUUCCACAGCCAUCCACCUGCACCAGCAACGGGGACUCAAAUGUCCCCGUUGUUUCCUGCUACCUUUCCUUUCAGCCCAUCCCAAGUGCCUCCUUUUGCCACUCUGCUUCUCCAGAGCCAUGCUCCCAAAGAAGCGUGCCUUUCCCUUUAUGUCAGGUGAGAGUGAUGUAAGCAUGACAUCAGCCCCUGCGCUUGCUGUUCCCAUCGCCUCAAUGCCUUUCCUGACUUCUCUUACACCUCCCAGGGUUUCCUUGAUCCCCACAGCAUCUUCCUCCUCCUCCUUCUCUUUCCUGCCUCUGGCUCUUUUACUUCCUUCUGCACUUUUGCUCUUCAGGGGGAUUUUCAGUGUUUGCGUCAUUUGGAUUUUCGCCCUUUAACUGACCUUUCCCUGGUUGAAUUUUCUCAACUGUUUUGUGCUUCCCAAUUAUUCUAAACACAUUCAUCAUAAUUUGAAAAGGUCAGAAGGAGCCCGCCUGGCUGAGGUAGCCCCUUCCAGAGCUUUCUGCCCUCGGCUCCCCCUGGACCCCAACCAUGACAAGUCUCCAGGCAGCACUGUGAUGCCCUGCCCUACCCUCUAGCCGCCCUGAGCAGCGGCGUGCCGGCACGUCCAGCCAGGCACAGUCACUGUCCCGAAUGCGAAAAUCCCAUGGACUCUCCCAAAGGCUUACAAAAGCCCUGAUGGGUGAAAGGUGUGCACGGUCCUGCUCACACGUGUGGGAACUGACGGAGGGCCUGACGGACAGCAGCAGCCCCAGUGCCCUAAGGUGUGUCGGAUGGCACAGCCUGUUCCAGGCAAUGCGCUGCACUCGGGCUGGGUACUGAGUGCCCGUUGGUCACCUGUGUCAGUUCCCGGUGCUGUGACAGGUUGCUUCAUAGAGCAGCGCCGUCUGUACUAUUUCCUGCUCUGUCAGGGUCAGUGACAGCCUUUCCUCAUCGCUUCAUGAUGAAAAGUUUGAUUGUUUCUGAGGAUCUGAGGAAAUUGCUUUCUGGCUCCCUCAUAUUUCAGACCCUGGAAGCUGCCUUGAUGCCUCCGACUUUCAUCUCCCACCCAGGGCUGCUCGGCGGCCGCCUCCUGAUUUGGCCUGUGCCUGCUGAUGGUGCUGAUGGUGGAGGGCGAAUCUCCCUGCAAAACGCGCGGCCCCUCCGAGGCACAUAAUCUUUUUGCUCUCAUUUCACCGCCACAUCCCUGCCAUCUCCAGACGCAUCCAUCGAUCCCCGGCAGAGACAGCUCGGGGACCCGCGGGGCGAUCCCGUGGCCGGAGCGGACCCCGCUCUGCUCCCGCAGCACCCGCUCUGUGUUCCACUCGGCCCACGCGUGGGCGCCUCGGCUCUGCCCGCGGGGCUCCCCCGGUCCCACGCCGGCCGCGGCUAAGGCCCCGGGCCCGGAGCUCGG
rnacentral:lncRNA from 1 species